GAGGUCAACUCUUUCAAAGACUCGUGAUACUCCCUAUUAUUCUCGUGGUUGACUUUGAACUCCUCGUUGAGAAGCGACUCAAUCUCACUAUCCUCGAAACUAGACCAUGUGACAAACUUGUUGACCACAUUGACCCUUAUAGGUUGUUCAUAAAGCUCAUUGGGUUCUUUUCCUACAUUGAAAAUGUUUAAAUCAAUGGUC
rnacentral:lncRNA from 1 species